GACGAACGCUGGCGGCGUACCUAAUACAUGCAAGUCGAGCGAAUGACGAGAAGCUUGCUUCUCUGAUUUAGCGGCGGACGGGUGAGUAACACGUGGGCAACCUGCCCUACAGAUCGGGAUAACUCAGGGAAACCUGGGCUAAUACCGGAUAAUCCUUCGAAUCACAUGUUUUGAAGUUGAAAGGCGCUUCGGCGUCACUGUAGGAUGGGCCCGCGGUGCAUUAGCUAGUUGGUGGGGUAACGGCCUACCAAGGCAACGAUGCAUAGCCGACCUGGGAGGGUGAUCGGCCACAUUGGGCCUGGGACCCGGCCCAAACUCCUACAGGAGGCCGCAGUAGGGAAUCUUCCACAAUGUACGAAAGUCUGAUGGAGCAACUCCGCGUGAGUGAUGAAGGUUUUCGGAUCGUAAAACUCUGUUGUAAGGGAAGAACACGUACGUUAGGAAAUGAACGUACCUUGACGGUACCUUAUUAGAAAGCCACGGCUAACUCCGUGCCAGCAGCCGCGGUAA
rnacentral:rRNA from 1 species